CCGCCGGUGGUGUAAGGCGAACAUCGCUGCCCGGAAAGCAGAAGAUGCGGGUUCGAGUCCCGCCUGGCGCA
rfam:Heligmosomoides polygyrus genome assembly, scaffold: HPBE_scaffold0013560